GUACUGAGGGAACACUACUAUUAUUGCUUGGAAUGUCACAAUAAUAUCCAUCCGUUCACUUAAAGGAGCAGUUUAAGGUUAGUUUCCGAAACAGGGAUGGGAAAAAGAUCCUGUACCUUGAAAAGGGUGCAAAAGAGGGAAUCUCUUUGCUUGUUCCCUGACUGGACAUUGAAGAGGAAUCCCCUCUAUUUACACCUCAAUUAAAAAGGUACAGGAGCCCCACUUCAGUUUAUACUUUAGCAACCCCGAUGAGGCACACACAAGGCUGGGAUGAUGCACCAUGCCUUCGAUUGUGAUGCGCCCAUGGUUCUAUGACAGUUAAGGCUGCAGCCAGGGAGCAGGGAUCUGAGUUGCCCUCAGCCCUUGGGCCUAAAGAGUCCUGAAAGGUGCAGCAAGUGACUUCCAAUGGCCCGAAAAGAGAAACGGAAGAUGGAUUUCCUGUCAUCAGCCGGGGAUUGAUAUCCUGUGAUCAGGUAUGAGAAGAGGAGGAAAGAUACCCAACUAUCAGGUAAGGGAUGAAAUGGAGAAAUACCCAAUAAUCAGGUAAGAGAAGAGGAAAGUUACAAAAAUCAUCAGGUAAGGAAAGAAGAGGAAAAACACCUAAUAAUCAGGUAAGGGAUGAAGAGGAUGGGCACCCAAUAAUCAGGUAAGAGAAGAGGAAAGUUACAAAAAUCAUCAGGUAAGGAAAGAAGAGGAAAAACACCUAAUAAUCAGGUAAGGGAUGAAGAGGAUGGGCACCCAAUAAUCAGGUAAGAGAAGAGGAAAGUUACAAAAAUCAUCAGGUAAGGAAAGAAGAGGAAAAACACCUAAUAAUCAGGUAAGGGAUGAAGAGGAUGGGCACCCAAUAAUCAGGUAAGAGAAGAGGAAGGCUAACAAAUCAUCAGGUAAGGGAUGAAGAGGAAAAAUACCCAACUAUCAGGUAAGGGGUGAAGAGGAUGGGCACCCAAUAAUCAGGUAAGAGAAGAGGAAAGAUGCCCAAUUAUCAGGUAAGGGAUGAGGAGGAGAAACACCCAAUAAGGUAAGAGAAGUGGAAAGCUACAAAAUCAUCAGGUAAGGAAAGAAGAGGAAAAACACCUAAUAACCAGGUAAGGAAUGAAGGGGACAGACACUCAAUAAUCAGGUAAGAGAAGAGGCGUGAUUUUGUGUCCCCAGGUAUUUCUGAUCUCCAGAAGGACCUUCUUGAACACACAGCAUCCAAUGAAGUGGAUCUGCAGGAAGACGUCAAGAAGAAAGAGAAUGAGAAAGAAAGAAGGACGGACAGAAAGUUGGUUGAUUUAAUUGGGAGGAAAACCUGGUAGCAAGCUGAAGAAAAGCAUAAAAGUUAGGCAAGAGAAAAGAAUAAACUGGAGAAGAUGCCAGAGACUGUUGGGGGGAAAGGCCCAAUGAGAAGGAAAGACAUCUCAAGCUGAGGGCACUUUCCAGAUUACGUGCCACUGAAAGCGUUUGUGAAACUCAUCCUGCUCCAGCUACGAGAUAGAAGGUCUUGAAUCCAUUCUUCUGGUGGCCCUGUAGCAAUUACAAACAAGACAAUCUGCUAUUUUAUGGAAGCUAUAGAAGACUAUAAGUAGUAUAGAUGUGCCUAAGAAGGGCAGAUAUAUAUACUAUCUUCCUCAAACUACGAGGGAUUGCCUAAGUAAAAGUAAGUAAGUGUGUGUGUGUGUGUGUGUAUGUGUGUGUGUGGCAAGUUCUUGGUGGUAUAGGGAGAUCAAGUCACCUUGCCUGUCUCCUGAGGAAUCUGUAUCACGACCAAGUAGCAACAGUCAAAACAGACAAUGGAAUAGGAGACCGGUUCAAGAUUGGGAAAGGAGUAUGGCAGGGCUGUCUACUCUCACUCUACCUUUUCAACUUGUACGCAGAACACAUCAUGCGACAUACGUGUGGGACUUGAGGAAUCCAAGGCUUGAGUUAAAAUUUCUGGAAGGAACAUUAACAACCUUCAAUAUGAAGAUGAUACCACUCUGAUGGCUGAAAGUGAGGAGGAGCUGAGGAGUCCUCUCACCAAGGUGAAAGAAGAAAGGAACAAAAAUUGGGUUGCAGUUAAACAAUAGAUAAUAGCAACCAGACUGAUUGAUAACUGACAAAUAGAGGGACAAAAAGUGGAGGCAGUGACAGACUUUGUAUUUCUAGGCGCAAAGAUUCCUACAGCCAGGAAAUCAGAAGAUGUUUUCUUCUUGGGAGGAGAGCCAGGACCAAUCUCAAUAAAAUAGUGAAGAGUAGAGACAUCACACUGGCAACGAAGGUCCGCAUAGUUAAAGCAAUGGUAUUCUUCAUAGUAACUUAGGGAUGCGAAAGAGAGCUGGACCAUAAGGAAGGCUGAGCAAAGGAAAAAAGACGCUUUUGAACUGUGGUGUUGGAGGAAAAUCCUGAGAGUGCCUUGGACCGCAAGAAGAUCCAACCAGUCCAUACUCCAGGAAAGUAAGCCUGGCUACUCACUGGAGGGAAGGAUAUGAGAAGCAGAUGAAGGACUCAUGAGAAGACAGGAAAGCUUGGAGAAGACAAUGAUGUUGGGGAAAAGGGAAGGGAAAAGGAAGAGAGGCCAACCCAGUGCAAGAUGGGUGAAUGGUAUCCUUGAAGGGACUGACUCCACCUUGAAGGAGCUGGGCACAGUGGACAGGGAGCUCUGGCCUGGGCUGCUCCAAGAGGUCAUCAAGAGGCAGAAGCAACUGAACAAAUAAACAGCACAACAACAACAUGUAGACUUGUCCACAGCUGCAUGGUAUCCAGUAGACUCCCUCCAAGAACGGAAUCCCCUAAACUGGGCUCUCCAGGCAAAUGGAGACUCCACCAUAGACUGAGAGAGGAAAGGAGAAAGGAAAGGUGAGGAGAGACAAAAGGAGAUAGGAAGAAGGGAAAGGAAAGGAGACGAGAGAGGAAAAGAGAGAGUCGAGGAGGAAAAGGAGCCAGGAAAGGAGAGGCUAAAGGAGAGGGGAAAGGAGAGGGGAAAGAAGAGGAGUCGAGGAGAGAGGACAGGAGAGGGGAAAGGAGAGAGGUGAGGAGAGAGGAGAGGAAAGGUCUUUUCCGACAUGCCCGGGGUAACACUGACCGCCACUUUUGGGGUCGGGAAGGAAUUUUCCUCCAGGACGGAUUGGCCCUGGGUCCUGGAGGUUUUUCGCCUUCCUCUGGGCAUCCGGCAAAGGUCUCACCGAGUCAGGAUAAAACACACUCUAAGACAACAACAGGCCAAUAUUGAACUAACCAACAAAUGCAAGCCCAUUUGAAUAAAAGACAUGAAUCUGUAAA